CCUACGGGAGGCAGCAGUAGGGAAUCGUCCACAAUGGGCGAAAGCCUGAUGGAGCAACGCCGCGUGGGUGAAGAAGGUCUUCGGAUCGUAAAACCCUGUUGUUAGAGAAGAAAGUGCGUGAGAGUAACUGUUCACGUUUCGACGGUAUCUAACCAGAAAGCCACGGCUAACUACGUGCCAGCAGCCGCGGUAAUACGUAGGUGGCAAGCGUUAUCCGGAUUUAUUGGGCGUAAAGGGAACGCAGGCGGUCUUUUAAGUCUGAUGUGAAAGCCUUCGGCUUAACCGGAGUAGUGCAUUGGAAACUGGGAGACUUGAGUGCAGAAGAGGAGAGUGGAACUCCAUGUGUAGCGGUGAAAUGCGUAGAUAUAUGGAAGAACACCAGUGGCGAAAGCGGCUCUCUGGGCUGUAACUGACGCUGAGGUUCGAAAGCGUGGGUAGCAAACAGGAUUAGAUACCCCAGUAGUC
rnacentral:rRNA from 1 species